CUACAAUGAUGGUAAAUAUUUUUCGUCAACAGAGUUCACUUAGUGAGUGUUGACACAUUGGGUCUGAGUAA
ensembl:snoRNA Gm23650 predicted gene, 23650